rnacentral:rRNA from 1 species
AUGGUUGCAGACUUAAGGGACUGUUUUCAGGAGCAUCUUGGACAGCUUGAGACGAUGGCUUUCAGUCAGAACCACUUAUAUGGCACCCUUCUCACAGAUCAGGGCGAGGUAUUCCUUUGUAACUAUACUGCUUUAAAGCUCCUAGACUUAUCAAACAAUGCCUUGCAUGGAGGUCUCUCGAAGUGUUUCUGGGACUUUCCAAGUUUGGCAUUCAUGGAUUUGUCCAGCAACUCUUUCAGUGGUGUAGUUCCUAUAUCGAGGACAUGUGCAGACAAUCUUAAGUAUCUACACUUAGCUGAAAACCAUUUUAGAGGAACCUUUCCUCUGGGUCUUAAGAAAUGCAAAAACCUUAUCACUCUAGAUCUUGGAGGGAAUCACUUCUCUGGUACAAUACCUUCUUGGGUAAGCAUGAGCUUGCCUGAACUCAUUUUUCUCCGAUUGUCAUCAAACAUUUUUUAUGGCAUCAUACCUCAACAAAUAUUACAAUUCCGCUGGCUCCAGGUACUGGACUUGUCAAAAAACAAGCUCACUGGACCAAUUCCAGACGAUUUUACGAAUUUUACGAGCAUGGCAAAACAAAAUACCGUUGACUUCAUAUACCAUGACGAGUUCCUAUAUGCAGAGCAGAUUCAAAUACAACAACAACAACAAAGCCUUUAG